UAGGGAAUAUUAGUAAUGGGCGCAAGCCUGAACUAGCAACGCCGCGUGUGCGAAGAAGGCCUUCGGGUUGUAAAGCACUUUUUGAGAGGAUGAGGAAGGACGGUACUCUCAGAAUAAGUCUCGGCUAACUACGUGCCAGCAGCCGCGGUAACACGUAGGAGGCGAACGUUAUCCGGAUUUACUGGGCGUAAAGCGCGUGUAGGUGGUUUGGUAAGUAGGGCGUGAAAGCUCCUGGCUCAACUGGGAGAGGCCGUUCUAAACUGCCAAGCUAGAGGAUGGUAGAGGGAGGUGGAAUUCCGGGUGUAGCGGUGGAAUGCGCAGAUAUCCGGAGGAACACCAGUGGCGAAGGCGGCCUCCUGGGCCGCUCCUGACACUCAGACGCGAAAGCUAGGGUAGCAAACGG
rnacentral:rRNA from 1 species